AAAUGAUGAUUAUUAUAUUCUUACCUACAUUAUUUGAACGAGAAAUCGUGUAACCAACGCAGAACUGA
rnacentral:snoRNA from 1 species